CAGUUGAGCCAAUUUGCGUCGUCGCUUCUUGUCUCCGUCCGCGGCUAAGAAGCUAACCGAGAAAGGCUAGUCCCCCAGACGGCCAGGGGAGAGGAAAAACCGAGCUGGCUCUGUGGCGGCGAGUGGUCAACAAACCCUGAUUGGACUGCUGGCCUUUGAACUGCACAACAGGAAUGCAGCUGCUCUCUGCUGGAGUCUGGUUGCGACUCACUGACGGCCUUCCUUUUCCCAUAAACCAUUGAAGCAAACUGUGAAUGUGUUAUCACUACACAAUCUGAGGAUGCGGUUGUGGUUAAGGCCAAGACAGUUCACGGGUCAGCUGAGGUUCUACAAUCAGGCUCUAAUGGACUCUAAUGAAGAUAUCUCUUUAGAUAAAUGGAUUGGGGAGCCAUUUCCAACAACAGUAGCACAGCCUCUUCUCCCCUUUACUUUUAAAGUCUGCUAAUCCGCCUCUCUGUGUUUAAAGGCAGUGAAGGCCUUGUAUUCAGGCUUGAGCUAAUUGAGGACACAAAUGGGUCUUGGAAUUCUCAUGCUGUGUUCUACACUGUUUCAUUGACGUGUUGGUGUUAGGUUACGGGACGGACGCCAUUGUAUGCAGUAUAGUGAGUGCAUAAGAAUGACAAGGCAUGUUUGGUCGCUUGAUGGAGGUCAAACCUCUUUUUAUCUUUUUAUCUCAAUAACAGCACUUCUCUACUGAAUGGAGAAUGCAAGAGGUGCAAAGGUGAAUGUAAAGGAUGAGUGUGAGAGAUUAAUAAAAUGGAGGGAGGGAGACGAGAGAAAGGAGGAGGAAGGGAUGAAACAGGCUGUAUUGACAUCUGUGAGAAAAAAAAGAGAGUGAAGGGCCAGAGCAUGAUCUCUUUAUACGCCUUGUGGGGGCAACGUAUUUAAAUGAGAAACGGAUGUUUGGAGUAAAUGAGUUGACCUUAACCCUGUGGGUCAGUGCCCUGUGUGUGUGUGUGCGUGUGUGUGUGUUUGAAAGAGAGAGAGUAAGUAUGCUUUAGAACGAGGGGGUCCGUAUUAAUCCAUUGCCCACCCUGUGAUUGACAGCCUCUGUCAUUGUUUCCCAACACUGAGGAUUUUUCCCAGGCAUUUGAGCAUCACCAAACUCCUCACAUUCAACAGAUGCUGGAGUUUAUGGCACCUUGUUUUCCCAGCACUCUUUUUCAAUUUGCUCCCUUGCUUAGCUUACUUGUGCGCUUGGGCUGUGUUCUUUACCUCAAAUGUAUGCAUGUAUUAUAUGCAAUUGUAUGCAAAAUAUUUAAUACUCCCUGGUCAUUUAUGUUUUGUUGAGAUUUUAGGUGAAAAUAUGUUGAUAUCCCCUACAUAGAACGAACCUAUAGCAUGUUUCCUGCAAAUUUUAAUGCACAAUUUCUAUUCAUUUGUUGAGCUGAACAUAUGGAGAAACAAACACAUCAAAUAUAAAAGGUGCCAAAAGUUUUGCACAGGCCAGAUUUUGUGUUUUAUUUUU